AGUGAACGCUGGCGGUAGGCCUAACACAUGCAAGUCGAACGGCAGCACAGUAAGAGCUUGCUCUUACGGGUGGCGAGUGGCGGACGGGUGAGGAAUACAUCGGAAUCUACUUUUUCGUGGGGGAUAACGUAGGGAAACUUACGCUAAUACCGCAUACGACCUACGGGUGAAAGCAGGGGAUCUUCGGACCUUGCGCGAUUGAAUGAGCCGAUGUCGGAUUAGCUAGUUGGCGGGGUAAAGGCCCACCAAGGCGACGAUCCGUAGCUGGUCUGAGAGGAUGAUCAGCCACACUGGAACUGAGACACGGUCCAGACGCAUACGGGAGGCAGCAGUGGGGAAUAUUGGAAAUGGGCGCAAGCCUGAUCCAGCCAUACCGCGUGGGUGAAGAAGGCCUUCGGGUUGUAAAGCCCUUUUGUUGGGAAAGAAAAGCAGCAGGUUAAUACCCCGCUGUUCUGACGGUACCAAAAGAAUAAGCACCGGCUAACUUCGUG
rnacentral:rRNA from 1 species